GCCUCACCCUCCGAUGUAGCUAGGACUACAGGACCGCGACCCGGCGCUGCCUAAGAACUGUUUUUAAACGUGAAAGCCACGGCUAUCAUUUGCUUUUUGCUCUGCUCUUCAUCUUCUGGAUAAACCUCGUAACACACUGCUUGUUUUGGGGUCCGGCCGCCGGCGCCAAGCCUCAAGGCAUCCAAGCCAGGAACGAUCGCGGUCAGCUCUGCCACGGAACAUGUGCAAGACCCGGCAGCAGGUUCCGGGGGAGGCGAAUUGAUUUCACAACGGUCGAGAAGGAGGACCCCGCCCACUUCGUCAUUUCUCGGAAGCCCAGGGACUCGCCGGAAGAGCGGCUCAAAAGCCGGAAAACUGGCAAAUCCGAGUCUCCCGGCGCAUGCGCGGCGCAAUCGGCUUCGCGU
rnacentral:lncRNA from 10 species